UCAAGAUGGCGUCUGAAAAUCUAGGCCUAGAUGGAAUAUACUUUUGCCUAAAGCUCGCACUACUUGUAAAACUAUUAGUUUGAAAAAAAAAGUACCGAUACAUUUAAAAUCAAUCUACACAUAGUAUGAUUUUGUAAUUGGCCCAUGGGAUGGUGACCUUAAUUGAAUUUGUACUUAGUGUUGUGUAGCAGGCAGGUGACCAGCCCAACUGAGAGAAGCUUCAGUCCUAACAUGGCAGGUGACCAGCCCAACUGAGAGAAGCUUCAGUCCUAACAUGGCAGGUGAUCAGCCCAACUGAGAGAACUUCAGUCCUAACAUGGCAGGUGACCAGCCCAAAUGAGAGAAGCUUCAGUCCUAACAUGGCAGGUGAUCAGCCCAACUGAGAGAAGCUUCAGUCCUAACAUGGCAGGUGACCAGCCCAACUGAGAGAAGCUUCAGUCCUAACAUGGCAGGUGAUCAGCCCAACUGAGAGAAGCUUCAGUCCUAACAUGGCAGUAACUCUGUGAAGAAGGGCGAUCAGAGGACAGAAGACAUUUAUCUACAAAGAAAUUGAUUUGACCUUGAAUACAGAUCUACGAUAUCAAACUACAUUGACUUUUCUGAAAGAAAGAUGUUUAUGUCACAGAACAAAGCUAUGGGGUUGCCUAGGUAAUAAAGAUGUGUAUGUCACAGAACAAAGCUAUGGGGUUGCCUAGGUAAUAAAGAUGUUUAUGUCACAGAACAAAGCUAUUGGGUUGCCUAGGUAAUAAAGAUGUUUGUCACAGAACAAAGCUAUGGGGUUGCCUAGGUAAUAAAGAUGUGUAUGUCACAGAACAAAGCUAUUGGGUUGCCUAGGUAAUAAAGAUGUUUAUGUCACAGAACAAAGCUAUGGGGUUGCCUAGGUAAUAAAGAUGUUUAUGUCACAGAACAAAGCUAUGGGGUUGCCUAGGUAAUAAAGAUGUUUAUAUCACAGAACAAAGCUAUGGGGUUGCCUAGGUAAUAAAGAUGUUUAUGUCACAGAACAAAGCUAUGGGGUUGCCUAGGUAAUAAAGAUGUUUAUAUCACAGAACAAAGCUAUGGGGUUGCCUAGGUAAUAAAGAUGUGUAUGUCACAGAACAAAGCUAUGGGGUUGCUUAGGUAGUAAAGAAGUUUAUGUCACAGAACAAAGCUAUGGGGUUGCUUAGGUAGUAAAGAAGUUUAUGUCACAGAACAAAGCUAUUGGGUUGCCUAGGUAAUAAAGAUGUUUAUGUCACAGAACAAAGCUAUGGGGUUGCCUAGGUAAUGUCGACCAGCAGGAAUUGGUCUCCUCGUCUUUAGUAAAUUAUCAAAAAUAUCUUUUAUAUAUUUUAUAUGAUGAUAUUAUUCUUAUAAAAUAUGAUAUUUUACUUAUAUAAUAUAAUAAUAAUAAUAAUCUUUAUUA